AUUGAACGCUGGCGGCAGGCCUAACACAUGCAAGUCGAACGAGUGGCGGACGGGUGAAUAAUGUCUGGGAACCUGCCUGAUGGAGGGGUAUAACUACUGGAACCCGUAGCUAAUACCGCAUACCAUCGGAUGUGCCCAGCUGGGAUUAGCUACUAGGUGGGGUAAAGGCUCACCUAGGCGACGAUCCCUAGCAGGGCUGAGAGGCUGACCAGCCACACUGGAACUGAGACACGGGCCAGACUCCGACGGGAGGCAGCAGUGGGGAAUAUUGCACAAUGGGCGCAAGCCUGACGCAGCCAUGCCGCGUGGAUGAAGAAGGCCUUCGGGGUGUAAAGUACUUUCGUCAGAGAAGCGUUAUCUGCCGAGGAAGCAACGGCUAACUCCGUGCCAGCAGCCGCGGUAAUAC
rnacentral:rRNA from 1 species